rnacentral:ncRNA from 1 species
UUGAGCCCAUUGUGAUGAAAGUCACACGAUGGGUUCUGAGGAGAGAAGGAGGAGGCGACUCCUCUGACUUAUCCUAC